UUGGAGCUAGCCGUCGAAGGUGGGACAAAUGAUUGGGGUGAAGUCGUAACAAGGUAGCCGUAUCGGAAGGUGCGGCUGGAUCACCUCCUUUCUAAGGA
rnacentral:rRNA from 1 species